UUUUUUGUCAAUUGCAGAGAGAGAGAGAUAGAGGAUAAGGAGAAAAGAGAGAGCUCAACCCUAAUUCCUUUUGUCGCCACUUCUCCAUAGGCGCCGCCGAAACCAUCUCCUCUUCUGAUAGAGCUUAUGAUCUUGGGUUUGUUGUUUAGUUCUGGCUGGAAUCCGAGUCGAUCGUUUCACAAUUACUAUGGCGUCUUCUAGGGUUUCAGGAAAAGUCCAAAUCAAGCAAAUCCAUUUGGUCCAUCACUAAAGGUCAACUCUCCAACCUCAACUGACUAUGUUCUUUUGAGUAUUGUAGAAUGACCAUGUUUCACUCCUUCAAAUUUAAUCACUUCGGUCAGAUCUGCAACGAUGAGCUUUUCUCUGUCUCUAAUUUCUCAACAAAUGAUGAUGUAGCGAAGUUUCUUCAGAGAUGGUUCUGGCUGGAAGCCGAGUCGAUCUGAGAUAAUGGAUGCUCUCGGGUUUCUGAAGGUUUUAUGAUCUCUGCUGUGUGUACUGCUGGGUGAAGGUAUACUGACUGAGGCAGGAGAAACAACUUUUUAAAAAAGGUUACAGUGCUAAGUGGCACAAAUGCUGAAGAUAUCAAGAAAAUGUUUUUUUAAAAGAUGGCGUUGUAACAACUGAAAUACUGAAAGGUGGACUACAAAAGUUUAAUACACGUUGUCGAGUCUGUGCUUAUUGAAGAUGCGUUCUAUACACACUUCCGGAAUAUCAUAGCCAUAUAUCCCGACCGCCUGCAGUGGUCAAACAACAGGCACGAAAACCAUAACCCUCGUGGAGCUAUUUCUGAUCGACACAUUGGAGAUGUUGCACAUCGAUUCAGUACAGGAGCACAUGAAGAGUAUACCGAGCUCUCAGCCGUGGAAGGUUUGGCCCAAUAUACCAAACUAAUCUGGGAGAUUGCCGAUCAGUUGCCAUCAAAAAGCUCAUAGUCUCGGGCCUUGUAAAAUCUCAAGAAGAUUUCUCGAGGGAGGUUAAGAAACUGGGAAAGAUUCAUCAUCUGAAUCUUGUAGCACUCGAAGGGUCAUCCACCAAAUUACAGAAAUGGUGCUGUUUUGAGUUAGGAAACGGAGAAGAAGAGAACAGGGGAGAGUGUGCUGUGCAAGUGGCAGCUCCGUUAUUUAAGGUUUGGCUUCCUUUUGGGUUUUCUAUUGGUCUUGCGGAUUGUUAGAAAUUUGUUAUGGAUGAAACAAAGAAGAAAUCAGAAGAUAUGUCAGGUGACCCUUCGUCAGGACUAAUGUGGGAUGUAAAAAUUACACACUUUGUAUUUGCUUUGUUUUAUGAUUUAGAUGUACCUUUAUUUUAUUAGUUUUUUUUUUUUUCUGAAUUUUUUUU
rnacentral:lncRNA from 1 species